CAUGCAAGUCGAACGAAGGCUUCGGCCUUAGUGGCGCACGGGUGCGUAACGCGUGGGAAUCUGCCCUUGGGUUCGGAAUAACAGUGAGAAAUUACUGCUAAUACCGGAUGAUGUCGAAAGACCAAAGAUUUAUCGCCCGAGGAUGAGCCCGCGUAGGAUUAGCUAGUUGGUGAGGUAAGAGCUCACCAAGGCGACGAUCCUUAGCUGGUCUGAGAGGAUGAUCAGCCACACUGGGACUGAGACACGGCCCAGACUCCUACGGGAGGCAGCAGUGGGGAAUAUUGGACAAUGGGCGAAAGCCUGAUCCAGCAAUGCCGCGUGAGUGAUGAAGGCCUCAGGGUUGUAAAGCUCUUUUACCCGGGAUGAUAAUGACAGUACCGGGAGAAUAAGCCCCGGCUAACUCCGUGCCAGCAGCCGCGGUAAUACGGAGGGGGCUAGCGUUAUUCGGAAUUACUGGGCGUAAAGCGCACGUAGGCGGCUUUGUAAGUCAGAGGUGAAAGCCUGGAGCUCAACUCCAGAACUGCCUUUGAGACUGCAUCGCUUGAAUCCAGGAGAGGUGAGUGGAAUUCCGAGUGUAGAGGUGAAAUUCGUAGAUAUUCGGAAGAACACCAGUGGCGAAGGCGGCUCACUGGCCCGGUACUGACGCUGA
rnacentral:rRNA from 1 species